AGAGUUUGAUCAUGGCUCAGAAUCAACGCUGGCGGCGCGCUUAACACAUGCAAGUCGCACGAGAAAGUGGAGCAAUCCAUGAGUACAGUGGCGUACGGGUGAGUAACACGUGGAUCAUCUACCUCUUAGUGGGGAAUAACCCUGGGAAACCGGGGCUAAUACCGCAUAAGCUCGAGAGAGGAAAGCAGCAAUGCGCUGAGAGAGGAGUCCGCGGCCGAUUAGCUAGUUGGCAGGGUAAACGCCUACCAAGGCAAAGAUCGGUAGCCGGCCUGAGAGGGCACACGGCCACACUGGCACUGAAACACGGGCCAGACUCCUACGGGAGGCAGCAGUGGGGAAUCUUGCACAAUGGGGGAAACCCUGAUGCAGCGACGCCGCGUGAGCGAUGAAGCCCUUCGGGGUGUAAAGCUCUUUCGGCAGGGACGAUCAUGACGGUACCUGCAGAAGCAGCUGCGGCUAACUACGUGCCAGCAGCCGCGGUAAUACGUAGGCAGCGAGCGUUGUUCGGAGUUACUGGGCGUAAAGGGUGUGUAGGCGGUUGCUUAAGUUUGGUGUGAAAUCUCCCGGCUCAACUGGGAGGGUGCGCCGAAUACUGAGUGACUCGAGUGCGGGAGAGGAGAGUGGAAUUCCUGGUGUAGCGGUGAAAUGCGUAGAUAUCAGGAGGAACACCGGCGGUGUAGACGGCUCUCUGGACCGUAACUGACGCUGAGACACGAAAGCGUGGGUAGCAAACAGGAUUAGAUACCCUGGUAGUCCACGCCCUAAACGAUGCAUAUUUGGUGUGGGUCAUUCAGUUGAUCCGUGCCGGAGCUAACGCGUUAAAUAUGCCGCCUGGGGAGUACAGUCGCAAGGCUGAACUCAAAGGAAUUGACGGGGCCCGCACAAGCGGUGGAGCAUGUGGUUCAAUUCGACGCAACGCGAAGAACCUUACCUGGGCUCGAACGGCUGGUUACCGGCGGUGGAAACAU
rnacentral:rRNA from 1 species